rnacentral:ncRNA from 2 species
GUCAACUACUCACCCCUAAAGGGAUGAGCUUGUAAAAGCGCUUGUUGACCAGACCACUAACUGAGGAUUAGAAAUGUUAGUAAACGAUAAUUUAGAUGUAGAAACCUUGGAAUGCCGCCUCAGUUCCAAGCUCUUUCGUGGCACUGUAAACAGUCCUAUUGAGUUAGGGGCAGUCAACCACGUUGCGAAGCUAAAUUAUCUGGUCGAGAGGA